GGGAAGCUGGCUCAGUGGUAGAGCGCUUGCCUUGUACGCAUGAAGCCCUGGGUUCAAUUCCUCAGCACCACA
rfam:Dipodomys ordii contig_82354, whole genome shotgun sequence.